UGAAAAGGCUAGGGGUGCUUCAUGUUAUGAAGCUGAGAUAAAACCCUUUGAACCUGAGACCAGCUAAUACUGGCGUAGGAAAGCCCACAAGCUCUUGU
rnacentral:ncRNA from 1 species